GUGGCCCUUUUUGUCCUUUUCACCCAAUAAACCCUGCCCUACUCACCCUUUAAAGUGUCUGCAAGCCUAAUCUUUCCUGAUCCUGCGACAAGAACCCGGUUUUUCCUACAACAUAUUGUUUGAGAAACAUAAGGCUUGAGAAAGGGCUUCCCAAAAUCAAACUUCAGUUUCAAAAUUGCCUUUCCUGACGCCAGGCUUUUCCGAUGCUUCAGAAGGGCCUCUGGAGUAUCCAGAAAAGAGGUCUGAUAACUUUGAAGAUUAUGACACUGGAAUAAAGGGAAAUGUACAGAAUUCAUGAAGAGCUAAAAUGUUCAUGAAUAUCAAGGAAAAGAAGAGCUAACUGAAUGAAUUCAGAAAACUGAAGC
rnacentral:lncRNA from 1 species